AAACACCUCUGCAGACAGGAACAUGUUAACGCCUUUUUACCAAUAGCCAAGAAUGGGAAACAGUUAUGUUAAACUUAUAAAUCAGACCCCAUAUGAGUUCACCUAUUGUUAUUCGUAUUUUAUAUCACUGAAUACAAUUAAGGGUAAUGGAAUAAUUGGGCCCCACAGUGAGAUUCAGCACAACCAAAUGGAGUAUCCAAGCCAUCUGUAUGUGAAAUAUGGGAGAAACAAUUGUCUUAAUGACACCAGGCACAGACCAGACCUGCAUCGCAGUUACAAUGGCAGAGACAACCCUACCUUCUUCAUCAGAGUAUGUGACCAUGAUCAAGCACAUUUGGAAUUGCGAUGUAACAGAGGGGGAGAUGUCCCUAUUUGCAUCAAUCAUGGUAUGGGACCUGAGGGGGGAGCAAACUGAGCAGACUUGUGUCAUCCCCUGAAGGAUUUUUCUGAGAAAAAAGUCUGACACAGAAGUUCAUGUGUAUAGAAUAGAAAGAAAGAUAUGCAGUGUUUCUUUUUACUGAUGACUGAGCAGCAGUUCUGUGAGAGCUU